rnacentral:misc_RNA from 1 species
GAUGAAGAACGUAGCGAAAUGCGAUAAGUAAUGUGAAUUGCAGAAUUCAGUGAAUCAUCGAAUCUUUGAACGCACAUUGCGCCCGCCAGUAUUCUGGCGGGCAUGCCUGUUCGAGCGUCAUUUCAACCAUCAAGCCCCCGGCUUGUGUUGGGGACCUGCGGCUGCCGCAGGCCCUGAAAACCAGUGGCGGGCUCGCUAGUCACUCCGAGCGUAGUAAUACAUCUCGCUCAGGGCGUGCUGCGGGUUCCGGCCGUUAAAAGCCUUAUUUACCCAAGGUUGACCUCGGAUCAGGUAGGAAGACCCGCUGAGCUUAAGCAUAUCAAUAAGCGGAGGA